AUGCUCGGUGUGAUAGACUGGAACAUGAAAUUUCUGUAUGUCUUACCUGGCUGGGAGGGUUCCACUUCCGACUCAAGAGUCCUCUGUGACUCCAUGAGAACUGAUCGUCAAGAUGCAUUGGUUGUACCUCAUGGAAAAUAUUACUUGGCCGAUGCUGGUUACAUGAAUGGGCCUGGAUUUCUAGCUCCAUUCAGAUCCACUCGGUAUCACUUGAACAAGUGGGCAUCAAGUCAGCAAUAA
rnacentral:rRNA from 1 species